AUUGAACGCUGGCGGCAUGCCUUACACAUGCAAGUCGAACGGCAGCACGGGAGCUUGCUCCUGGUGGCGAGUGGCGAACGGGUGAGUAAUACAUCGGAACGUACCCUGAAGUGGGGGAUAACGUAGCGAAAGUUACGCUAAUACCGCAUAUUCUGUGAGCAGGAAAGAGGGGGAUCGCAAGACCUCUUGCUUUAGGAGCGGCCGAUGUCGGAUUAGCUAGUUGGUGAGGUAAAGGCUCACCAAGGCGACGAUCCGUAGCGGGUCUGAGAAGAUGAUCCGCCACACUGGGACUGAGACACGGCCCAGACUCCUACGGGAGG
rnacentral:rRNA from 1 species